AUGUUGUUGGAAAAGUACACCUCACGCAAGACCAGCAAUGUGUUUAACCGGCUUGGAGAGAAUAAACAUCUUAGAUCUCCUUCUGGACCUGGCGGUCAUGAGCAAUGGCAAAGAAAUUUAAAUGACCAACAUCCCUAUAUUGCAAUGGAGCCGACGUAUUGGGGUGGUGCACCUCCUAUGUACCCACAGUUUCCUCCAUGGGGUUUUAAUCCUUGGGUGCCAUGUCCUACAGUGGCAGGUUAUUUUCACCCAAAAUGGGUUCCGCCGAGUCCUAUGUUCAGAGCAAACAUACAUGAGAAAAGGGCUCCGCUCAAUGAGGCAGCUAGAUCAUGUGAUGCAAUUGUUGUCCAAAGGGACCGGUCAUCGGUACACAGUGCAGAUGGUGAAGUUCAUAUAGGUGGUCAAAUAUUUAUGUGGGUGCCGAUCAAUCGUAGAAGUGAUGCAAAAGCACAUGAUGGGACUGUGCGUGGCUGCACCAAGAUUAGCGCAAUAAAAGAUAAUAGUUUACAAGAUGAUUUGCAGCCUAGUGUGCAGACACAUGUAGACAAGAAAAUUGUACGUACUAGUGAGUUGGUUGAUGCAUCUGCUGAUGAAUUUACUAGAGACAGUGGGAAAAUUGAAGCCAUAGGUACAGAGGAGAAUAGUGAUGGCGUGAAGUUGCAGGAAACCGUCCGACGUAAUCAGUUUGAAAAGGAAACUAAUUUUGGACAGAUCAAAGAAUUCAUUGUAUCCUCAUGUACUAAUCAACGGUCUAAAUCGGCAAGCUCAUAUGCUGAUUUAUUCAUGGGAGGUUGUGGCCCAGGAGCGUCCAAAAAUUUCAAAUCUAGCACUAAUUUGGAUUUAAGCAAUGUACGCGGCCAGAAAUUUAAAGCUAGUAAUGGACAUGAUCAGCAGAGAGGUAUUUCGGCCAGAGAUAAAAUAUUUGCCAUAAAAGCAGAAGUACGUCAGUACAGGCGGAGAGACUCGGGGGGCAACAGAAUUAAGUCAGCUGCACCAGAGACUAAACCAAGACCUCGGUGGUGUCCAACGGGACUCACACACACUCAGAAACGACGUGUGCAGAGACUACGCACAUUUGAAAUGAAGGAAGAGAUAGUCGAGAAGAAACGCUUGUUCGAUCAGGAAAAACCAAUGGUGCAGAAAAUAACAUGGAGGGAGAAACACAUUGUGGGGGAGAAGUUGCCCAAAGCUCCCAACGAAAAAUAUUCAAAAAAGUACUGUAAUAGCAUGUCCAAGAAAACAUGA
rnacentral:rRNA from 1 species